AACGAACGCUGGCGGCAUGCCUAACACAUGCAAGUCGAACGAAGGCUUCGGCCUUAGUGGCGCACGGGUGCGUAACGCGUGGGAAUCUGCCCUUUGGUUCGGAAUAACAGCUGGAAACGGCUGCUAAUACCGGAUGAUGGCGAAAGUCCAAAGAUUUAUCGCCAGAGGAUGAGCCCGCGUUGGAUUAGGUAGUUGGAGGGGUAAAGGCCUACCAAGCCGACGAUCCAUAGCUGGUCUGAGAGGAUGAUCAGCCACACUGGGACUGAGACACGGCCCAGACUCCUACGGGAGGCAGCAGUGGGGAAUAUUGGACAAUGGGCGCAAGCCUGAUCCAGCAAUGCCGCGUGAGUGAUGAAGGCCCUAGGGUUGUAAAGCUCUUUUACCCGGGAAGAUAAUGACUGUGCCGGGAGAAUAAGCCCCGGCUAACUCCGUG
rnacentral:rRNA from 1 species